GAUGAACGCUGGCGGCGUGCCUAAUACAUGCAAGUCGAGCGAACAGACGAGGAGCUUGCUCCUCUGACGUUAGCGGCGGACGGGUGAGUAACACGUGGAUAACCUACCUAUAAGACUGGGAUAACUUCGGGAAACCGGAGCUAAUACCGGAUGAUAUAUUGAACCGCAUGGUUCAAUAGUGAAAGACGGUUUUGCUGUCACUUAUAGAUGGAUCCGCGCCGCAUUAGCUAGUUGGUAAGGUAACGGCUUACCAAGGCAACGAUGCGUAGCCGACCUGAGAGGGUGAUCGGCCACACUGGAACUGAGACACGGUCCAGACUCCUACGGGAGGCAGCAGUAGGGAAUCUUCCGCAAUGGGCGAAAGCCUGACGGAGCAACGCCGCGUGAAUGAUGAAGGUCUUCGGAUCGUAAAACUCUGUUAUUAGGGAAGAACAAAUGUGUAAGUAACUAUGCACGUCUUGACGGUACCUAAUCAGAAAGCCACGGCUAACUACGUG
rnacentral:rRNA from 1 species